CUCAGACUUCCUUCCGGUCGGUGGCUGGUUCACUUUCCUGGUAGACGAUUUCUGCAGUGGAAGCACUAAACAUGAUGGAAGGAAAUAAUGGCCUCACUGAAGCUCCAGGACGUUCAGGCAUCAUCUAACAUUCAAGAGCUUUAAAUGUUAAGUUGCAGAUUAACUGUAGAAAAGACUUCUUAGGAUAUAAGUGUAUAUACAGUGGUGUGAAAGUGUUUGCAUGUUUGUCACACUUUGUUUCAAUUCUUUAAACUAAUGUAAAAUAGUAAAUGAUAACAUUACUUUCUUUCUCA